UCAUCUUGUUGGUUGACCAACAUAGCUGUUCUGUUCAUCAGAAGAACUAAUAGAGAAGUUGGUUUUUGACCAGUAUGAGUGUUUUAAGCACUUUUGUUAUGUUUUCCCAUAAAAACCCUAAACAUUCUAAAAAUGACAUCCUUGAUAAGCGGAAGUUUGGAAUUAAGUAGUUCAGUGUCUGUUCAAGUUUACUUGUAUAAGAGACCACACAGUCAAAAAUAUAAACAAAAAUUAAAAUACGUGUGUGUGUGUGUGUGUGUGUGUGUGUGUGUGUGUGUGAGACUGUGUAAAAUACGACUAAUAUUUAAAUAUUUAAGCCAAUACACAAUAUUAUAAUGCUCAUUUAUUUAAGUAUUUACUUGUUUUUUAAUUAUUUACUUGCCUUAUUUUAUAACCAGAGAGUAAUCCAACUCCAGGGUAAGGCUAAAAUCAGCCUAAUGUUUUUAAUAUGAUUGAAUUUGUAUUUAACAUGAUAACAAUAGAAUAUAAACAUUGUAAGUAGCUAAUUAUAAUGCUUACAUUUCCUCGGUUACAGUAGCUACAGAAAACGAGCAAAGAACAUUUAUUGUACAUUAACAGAGAACGUCCUCACUGACUUCAGUCUAGCGCAAGUUUAUGCACUUAAAAACACUCCCGUUAUAAUCAAGUCAGCGAGCGCAUGCACUGAACAACAAAUGCACUGAUUGGCCAUUGCAUUAAUAAAAUCAAUGAAAUCGUGUGUGAUUGUUAUAACGCAAAACACUGUAAAAUAUAUUAAUUAUAAAUAUCAAUUAGGUAGUAUUACUAGCAUUCUAAUAAUAAUCACCUUGUUGUCUUCAAAGGCUUCAGUCACAGAUGAUAUGUCUGGCUAUCGUCGAUACAUGAUACUAUCGUUUAUCGGAACAACCCUACCGUGUGCAUACAUAUAUAUAUAUAUAUACUGUAUAUGGGUGUGGUAAUAUGCUUAAUAUACUUUUUCCUGACUCUGCUGCAGAUAAAAAUUACAGUAAGUAAACAAGGAGCGACUGGAGAUAUUCCUAUUGGUAUAAUAAUAGGAAGUGUCAUUGGCGGCCUCCUCCUUUGGGCUCUAGCUACGGUGAUCCUAUGGAAGGUUGGCUUCUUCAAGAGGAAGACUUUGCCACAGGGAAAUGAACCGGAUCCGGCAGAACAAGAGGGUCUGUGUGAGAAUUCAGCAUGAAGGGGACAUACACGCUCACCUCUGUGACUAUAUGCGAAUAAUGUUACCUCAAAAUAUACAGAUUAAUAACUGAUAUUCAGUUUACUGCCAUUCGGGUCCUGCCAGGAGGUCUGGCUGGUAACAUUUACUGUAUUUUAAAGUUUCUCACAACUGAUGACUCUCAUGCACUUUCUUGUUUGGUGCUCACUCGUAUUUAGGGCUCAAAAGAAUGAACGAAUGAGUUGGUACAUGCAUGAGAGACGGGAUGUGUCUCCUCAAAGCCAGAGGGCGUGGGGUGAAUGUCUGAAGUUUUUGCCUCUGUCAGUUCCUGCUUCCUUCUCGUUCUGACUUGCUUCAGUUUGUACUUAGUUCUCAGUUAAUCAUGACAGAUAAUUCUGUAAAUACGUAAUUUGAAGUUUGUCUUUUUCAUUAAUGUUCUGCUGUUUUCUGUUGUUGGGUGUUUCGGAGACGUUUACCUCACUUAUGCACAAACCCCCAGUACGAUGACACACACACACACACACUGUGGUUAUAACUCCUCGAUGCGAAAUACUUAUUAUGAAUGAAUCUUACUGUUGUGAUUGUUCAAGCCCCGGGGGAAGAUUAAAUUAUGUUCUUUAGACUUUGUUUUUGUUGGCCUGGUUUCUUAUUUUUCCUCUUCUUUGUGGCUAUUCCGGAAUAAGCAUAUUUUAAAGAGAAGAAUGAUUAUUAGGUUUGUCUUUACCAAAGCAAUUAUUGUUCAGUAUACAGUGAUGCUAAUCAUCUCAGGUCACACUUAAAAUGUCAGAAUGUCAUUACUGUUAAACCUUUUAAAACUACUUUUGUUUUUCACAUUUCCAAAGUUCUCAGAAUCAGAAGUUGUCAUAGUUGGGAUUAUUAUUAUUUACUAUUUUAUAAUUUACUAGGCUACUUCUUAUCAUUAUUACUAUUAUUAUUUGGAGAUACUGAACAUUAAAUAAUGCAAACAAACAAUAUAAAUAAAAAAUUUAAAUAAUGCA
ensembl:lncRNA